UACGUAGGGCGCAAGCGUUAUCCGGAAUUAUUGGGCGUAAAGAGCUCGUAGGCGGUUUGUCGCGUCUGCCGUGAAAGUCCGGGGCUCAACCUGGAGACGCCACGCGAUACUGGCGUGACUAGAGUUCGGUAGGGGAUCACGGAAUACCUGGUGUAGCGGUGAAAUGCGCAGAUAUCAGGUGGAACACCGGUGGCGAAGGCGGGUCUCCUGGACAGUUCCGUGACGCUGAGGCACGAAGGUCAGGGGAGGCAAACGGG
rnacentral:rRNA from 1 species